rnacentral:rRNA from 1 species
UACGAAGGGGCUAGCGUUAUUCGGAAUCACUGGGCUUAAAGGGCGCGUAGGCGGUGCGGUAAGUCACCUGUGAAACCUCUAGGCUUAACCUAGAGCCUGCAGGCGAAACUGCCGUGCUUGAGACCGGGAGAGGUGAGUGGAAUUCCCAGUGUAGCGGUGAAAUGCGUAGAUAUCAGGAGGAACACCUGUGGUGUAGACGGCUUACUGGACCAUGACUGACGCUGAGGCAACGAAAGCGUGGGGAGCAAACAGG